ensembl:lncRNA
GGCCUUAGAAAUUAGUUCAGCAAUGAAAUGGUUAAUAGGAUGAGUAAAGGCUAUUUUUAAGUCUGGCUCCCCUUUCUGAUACACUCUUGAAAAUUCACCCUGUACUGCAGAAAUCCUAAAUUGCAGUGCCCUGCACCCCACUGAAACUCUUCAGUCUGCUCACUGUGGAAGCUGUUUCUGUCGAAGAGGUCAGAAAUAGAAGAUAAAACCCUUGACGGUGCAUCUGCUGAUCAAGCACAAAGCAGUCAGGAAGUAGGGGUGAGGGUGUAGGUAUUUCCCUGCCAUCCUUACGAAGUCCCCCUCAAGCUACAUUGGAUGUUCACAUAGGAAAUGAUCAACACUCUUCAGUGUGCACAGGCCUACAGAAGACUUUCAGAGGGGCUGACAGACUGUGGACCCAUCAACUGGCUUCCUUGCCCUCCAGCUUCCAGUAGGCUUCAGCCAAGGAGACAUGGGGAAGAAAUGAAAGGAAGAAGACUAAGAUUGGGUCUUUAUUGGAGUAUUUAUUGCCUUGAUGGAAGAUCCAGCACCUGUUGGGUGACUUUCUCACAGAGAUCUGUGUGCCCUUCCUUUCCCGUGAUCAAAGCACUGAGGCUCAGCCCUGUCUCCAUCUUGGGAUUUGGAAGGUGGAACUGCCCCCUGUCCUGCUCCCUUUUCCUGGACUGUGCAUUGCAUAUGGUGGCACACCAUGGCCUCCCUCAGCGACCACUCACUCCACGCACGGAGGACCGUUUACAUCCUGGCUGCCAGGCCGUUUUCCCAUGUCUUGGUUGGGCCAACCACCUUCUUACCCUGGCAUUUGAGUUUCCUCCUCCCGUGGGAGAUUCCAAGCCUAAGUGCGGGCAAUUAUCUUGGCUCUGAAGGAAGGAAGAAGUAGGAGGAUAUGAAGUAAAAGGGCUGCAGGUGACCAGAAGGGGAAGGAUGAGGGAUAACAGUGGCAGGAAGGCAAUGGUAC